GACGAACGCUGGCGGCGUGCCUAAUACAUGCAAGUAGAACGCUGAAGGAGGAGCUUGCUUCUCUGGAUGAGUUGCGAACGGGUGAGUAACGCGUAGGUAACCUGCCUGGUAGCGGGGGAUAACUAUUGGAAACGAUAGCUAAUACCGCAUAAUAGCAGUUGUUGCAUGACAACUGUUUGAAAGUUGCACUUGCACCACUACCAGAUGGACCUGCGUUGUAUUAGCUAGUUGGUGGGGUAACGGCUCACCAAGGCGACGAUACAUAGCCGACCUGAGAGGGUGAUCGGCCAACCUGGGACUGAGACAAGGCCCAGACUCCUACGGGGAGGAGCAGUAGGGAAACUUCGGCAAUGGACGGAAGGCUGACCGAGGAACGCCGCGGGAGUGAAGAAGGGUUUCGGAUCGGAAAGCUCGGUUGGAAGAGAAGAACGAGUGGGAGAGUGGAAAGUUCACACUGUGACGGUAUCUUACGAGAAAGGGACGGCUAACUACGUG
rnacentral:rRNA from 1 species